rnacentral:rRNA from 1 species
CGCAUCUGUGCAUGCAGCAUAUCAAUAAGCGGAGGAAAAGAAACUAACAAGGAUUCCCUCAGUAACGGCGAGUGAAGCGGGAAGAGCUCAAAUUUGAAAUCUUGAAAGGUCACCUUUCACGAAUUGUAGUUUAAAGAAGUGGUUUCUGUUACGAUCGUAAUAUAAGUUCUUUGGAAUAGGACAUCAUCAGAGGGUGAGAAUCCCGUCUAUGAUUGCUGAUUUUGUAACUUUGUGAUACACUUUCAAAGAGUCGGGUUGUUUGGGAAUGCAGCCCAAAACUGGGUAGGUAAAUUUCAUUCUAAGGCUAAAUAUUGGCGAGAGACCGAUAGCGAACAAGUACCGUGAGGGAAAGAUGAAAAGAACUUUGAAAAGAGAGUUAAAUAGUACGUGAAAUUGUCAAAAGGGAAGCGUUUAACACCAGUGUUGUUUUCUGAAAAUCAACCUCUGUUAGCUUUAUGCAUGUUUGUUUAGACCUAAUCAGCUAUCUUGCAUGUUCUAUUGUUUGCAGUGGUGUACUUUUCAGUUUACAGGUCAACAUCAGUUUUUUUUACCGUAAAAAAGUUAAAGAAAGGUAGCUCAUGGCUCCGGUCGUGAGUGUUAUAGUCUUUUUCCUAUGCGGUAGGAGAGACUGAGGUCUGCAGUGUAGGCUAUUUGGCUAGAUACUCAGGUGCUAUGUGAUACCAUUUCAUAAACAACUUGUUGAUUAUGUUUUGUCUAUUGCAUACUCGCUUGUACUAUCAUACCUACGCUUAGGAUGUUGAAGUCAUCGUAUCGCGC